CACAGGGGAGACUGCCCCUGUUUUUGAUUUGGCCGCACUCUUAGCUUUUCUUGUCCUCUCUGCUCUUUUGCUGGUGCCCUUUUUCUUGGCGGGGUGUGGGUAACAGAACAACCAUGGGCUCUUGGGUCUUUUUUUUUUUUUUUUUUUUUCUCAUUUAUAAACACACCAUUGAAUUCCAGAAAACC